GUGACCAACCUUUUCAGUUCACGCCUUCCCAUGAGGGAUUGCCCCACAGACCUUUGUGGCAUAAAUCAUAUUUCAACACUGUAAUCAGUAAAACUUUCAUACAUACCACAAACUUUCACACACACAUUCCUAGGCAUACACAGAAUAAAGAGAAACAUUUGUCUCAGAGACUUACAAGCAAAUAAAUAUAAACACACAGGACUAAUUCAAUAAAGGAGAGGAGGAAACUAUUAUACAAUAACAAAAAAGGCAAUGCUCAAGAGACUCAAAUACCACCAAAGAGAGCACCUAAAUGAGGUUGAAUUGUGUGUGUUUGUCGCUCAGUCCUGUCCAGCUCUAUGCGACCCCAUGGACUGGAAUCCAUCAGGUUCCUCUGUCCAUGGGAUUUCCCAGGAAAAAGGAGCCAAAGGAACACAGAAGAAGGGGUAACAAAUUCAGCUUGGAGGACACGGUUAAGUCAUCCUUGAGAAGGUGACGUUUUAGUUAGGCUUUGAAGGGUAAAUAAGAAUUCCCAAGGAAGAAAGGGAAGAGAAUUCCAGGCAGAGGAACAGCAAGCGUGAAAGUGGGGAGGUAAGAAGGAGCACAGUGUUUCCAGGAAAGGGCAAUUGAAGAGCAGGCACCCAGGAGGCCUUCGAGUCAGUGCCCAGCAACAGCAUCUCAGAGGGGGACACACUCAGCCCGAGGCAGGGGCAUGACUGUGACGCCAAGGCCAGCCUGAAGACUUCCUGGACAAGAUUCUGAGCAUGAGGAUUCUCUGCUCUUCGAACUUGGAGAGCGACUUGAACAUUACUCCAAGCCCCCUCUCGCAAUUCAUUUCAUCUCCAGGCAGCACCUGCCCAUUGGCUACCCACUCUGGCCUCGGCCCGGAGCACACCCACCCAUCCCUCACCCUGAGUGCUCCUGCCUCCGUUUGAUCUCAGAAAGGACAGGCUUCUUGCCUGGCUCGUGUCCACUUGGGCCUCGGUCUUGGAGACUGAAGGCGAGAUUUGGCAGGAGGCGAGGCCAGGGGAAACCUAGGACAGAGGCUUUCACUGCCCACAGAAGCCUCCGAUGCCAGCUCGGAUGUCAACAGCUCAACCUCAAGAUUAGCUGUUUCCCAAAAUUCCCCAGGUGGUGAAGAGAGCGAGAGACCAGCGUAACUUGAAAACAUGUUUUCUGGCAGAGGAUUAUUGGCAGAGCAACCAAACUGGGGCCACUUAUUGUCCUUACAUGUAAAGUAGCUUAGUGCUUGGCCCUGGCCUACCU
ensembl:lncRNA